rnacentral:rRNA from 1 species
UACGUAGGAUGCAAGCGUUGUCCGGAAUUAUUGGGCGUAAAGAGCGCGCAGGCGGUAUGACAAGUCAGAUGUGAAAGAGGCCGGCUUAACCGGCAAGGGUCAUUUGAAACUGUCAGACUAGAGUGCAGCAGAGAAUAGUGGAAUUCCCGGUGUAGUGGUGAAAUGCGUAGAUAUCGGGAGGAACACCAGUGGCGAAGGCGGCGAUCUGGGAAGAUACUGACGCUGAGGUGCGAAAGCGUGGGGAGCAAACAGG